ACACCUACCAUGUAACACCAUUUUAUUGUUACUUGUAAAAAGUACAAUUUGUUUAUAUUUACGCAUGUACCUACCCACAGAUGUGUAUAAUAACAGUUCUAUAAUAGGUUUUAUUGUUUUUUAAUAACUUCAUUGGGAUGGAAAGUACAAAGUACUAAUUUUCCAACCAUAAGUGGUGUGGAAAUAUAUUUAUUCUGGCAAAUAUGGAAUUGUAUAAACUACCAAUGACUGCUUUAGGACAAAUGUCUUAUGUUAGCUAUUCCUCACAUAAUUAUCAAUUAUAAUUUAAUGAAUACUGGUCUUAUUUAAUUAAGAUUAUCAUAAACAUUGUCUGACAGUCACUAGCUAUCAUUGUUUAGGCAUGUAAGGGGAAGGGAAGAGAAUGCUUGUCUCAAAAAAAGGUUAUGAGUGUGUAUGGAUGGAGAAGAAGAUCAAAGAAAAGAUUGAAAGAGAACAUAGGUAUGAUAUGAAAGUUUUAAAAGGCAAUUAAGGUAUGACAGGAAACAGUAGUGGAAGGAAAAGACAUUAUGCGCCAACAUAAAGUGGGUUUAGGUAACUAACAAAAUGAAGAAACAAUGUCUGACACAAUGGAUAGAUAUUGGAAAGUGAUUUGUCAGAAAUUCAAGUACCUAGUAUAAAUUUUUGGAUACAAAUUUUUCAACUGGACCCAUAAUGGAUAAAGAUAUUGUCAUAUACUGUAUUUGAGGGUACUUGAAAAUAUCCAGUCUGGUUUUAUGUCAGGCAAACACGGUAAAAAUACAUGUUCAAUACAUGUUCGGAUAACAUGUCAAUUUGUUAUGUUUUUUAUUGUGGUGGGUAGGUACUAUUAGUAAAUUUUUGUAUUAGCUUCAGGAGCAUGUGUGAUUUAAAAGUUCCCAGUAGAAGGAGCAAACCUAAAGAGUUUUGGCUUGCCAUUGUCAAGGAGAUUAUAUGGGCCAAUGGCCAUUUAGUUAGCCAAAAACUGAGGAUGCAAAGUGAAGAAGAAAAUGUUCAUUGGGAGCAAUGAGUGGUAUUAUGUUUUGUAGAUUUCUGAUGUAGACAAUAUGGUACAUUGUAGAAUCUACCAUAUUAUGAAUCGACUUUAAAACAUCUAUAUUUUAAUGUUCUGGUCAUUGAAAAAUGUACCACAGAAAGUCAAACUUACUGUAUGGUAAGGUAAUAUUGCCUUGUGAUGCACUGCCAUUCAAAAAGACAAAAAUGUGAAAAGAAAAACCUGCAGAAUCGAACAAUCCAAAAUCAAUUGCAAACCACUGCAACGUUAUAUUGAUGGCAUCUACCUAAUGAUUUACUGUGGAAAAUUAUGAUAUACUGCAAAAAUACGAAACUGAUUCCAGAUGGACUAUAUAAAGAAAAACAGGACAUUUUUGCAAAUCAUUUAGCUGACCUUUUUGGACCACACAUAGGUAGAAGAUGGCGAGCCCAAAAAUGAAAUUGAACUUGAACUAAAUUAAGACAUCCAGCAAUCUCUGCUUCCUAAACAAGAAUGAACAUAAUAUAAUCUUCACAAAUCCAAUUUUUCUCCCUAACUAGAUCCCACAGUUGUGCUGUAAAAGUAGCCAUCUAGUAUUUGAAAUGAAACCGA